AUGCUUGGCGCCGCCGAGCCGAAGCGUCCGUGCCAUGCGGACGACGGCGGCGCCGGUGAUGCGGGCGAUGACCGUCUGAGCGCGCUGCCGGAUGAUCUCCUCCGGGCCAUCCUGUCGCGCCUCAAGGCCCGGCAGACGGUGCAGACGUGCGCGCUCGCCGCGCGGUGGCGGCACCUCUGGCGCGCCGUGCCGUGCCUCGACAUCAACGAGCGGGACUUCACGACCAACCUCCUGCGCGGCCAUGAGUUCACGCUCCUGGAGGACUUCCGGCUGCACGGGGCCACCGUUACCAUCGGGGAUCAUUGGCUCCGCCACGAGAUAGGUCGAGAUGCAUGGCCUCGCGGGCUCAGAAGGUUGCGUCUUUCAAACGUGGAAUUGCAACUGGCAGAUCUCGCGAGCCACAUCAGCAGCUCCCGCUGCCCUGCUCUGGAGGAGGCGCGGCUGGAAAAAUGCUGGUUCUUGCUCACCAGCAAUAUCAAGAUCGCCUCCUCCUCGCUCAAGAAACUGGUCGUCCAUGGCGAGUACAUCAUGGACGAAUUUGAAGUUUUCAAGUUGGUUAUAGACGCCCCUGCUCUUGUUUCUCUCCGCCUCGGAGGACGUGAUGACCAGUUAGGCAUUCUUGGCGCGCUGUCUAAUGUGACAACCUUGCACUGGUCGAAUUUUGCGGUCACGUUUAAGAACCUGAGAACCUUGUUCCUGGGUGUGUGCCGUAUCAGCGAUGACUUCCUCGGGCUACAGCAAUACCUGUGGAACUCACCUAACCUGCAGAGGCUCACCAUGCGCCAUUGCAAGGUCUUGGAUUUCCAACCUACAAAGGAGGUGAUGGAACGCCACCAAUCAUAUUCUAAGGACCUGGAGCAUUUCAAGUGCAAGAAGCUUAGGCUUUGUGACAGUGAUCCUUCUGUCCAUCUAUUGGUCAAUCAUGGCGGCGGCGGCGCAGCCACACCCAGCAGAUUAGUCGUCUCCCCUUCCUACGUGGCGCAGCAAUCCAGAACAGCCGACAUGCUUGAAUCCACGGACGCCUCCGCCGAGCCGAAGCGUCCACACCAUGAAGACGACGGCGGUGAUGCGGGCGAUGACCGGCUGAGCGCGCUGCCGGACGACCUCCUCCACGCCAUUCUAUCGCACCUCAAGGCGCAGCAGACGGUGCAGACGUGCGUGCUGUCCACGAGGUGGCGGCACCUCUGGCGCGCCGUGCCGUGCCUCGACAUCGACCGUGCAGACGUGCGUGCUGUCCACGGUUUUGACGGCUUCACGGCCAACCUCCUGCGCCGCCAUGACUUCACGAGCCUGGAAGAUCUCCGGCUGCACGGGGCCACCGCUGUCGUCGGCGACCGUUGGCUCCGCGGCGACAUAGGUAGAGAUACAUGGCCUCACGGGCUCAAAAGGUUGCAUCUGUCCGGCCUGGAGUUGCAACUGAAUGAUCUUGCGAGCCACAUCAGCAGCUCCCGCUGCCCUGCUCUGGAGGACCUGCAACUGAACAUGUGCUUCCACUUGCUUACCAGCAAUGCUAAGAUCAUCUCCUCCUCCCUCAAGAAAUUGACCAUCGUCGAUGGCGAGCACACGGUGGAGGAUCAUGAAGUUUUCAAGUUGUUUAUAGAGGCCCCAGCUCUUGUUUCUCUUCGUCUGGCCGGCGAGGAGUUUGAGCACAUUCUUGACACCACUCAGCCACAUACCAUGCCGUCUCUUGUCGAUGCGUCCAUUCAUCUGCCCUGGAUUUACCAGAGUUACCAGAACAUCAAAGAACAACUCUAUAUUCUUGUCACCAUGUCUAAUGUGACAACCUUGCGCUUGUCGCAUUUUGCGGUCACGUUGUUGUUCCUUGGGAGUCAUGAGGAUCUUGCUGUAUUCAAGUUUGACAACCUGACAAGCUUUUCUCUUGACGGGUGCCGUAUCAACGACGACUUCCUCAGGCUGCACCAAUACCUGUACAACUCCCCUAACCUGCAGAAGCUCACUUUGCGCCAUUGCAAGUCUACAAAGGAGGUGAUGAAACGCCGCCAAUCAUAUUCUAAGGACCUGGCGCAUUUCAACUGCAACAACCUUAGGCUUACUGAAAUCAUACACCGAGAUGGUGAUGCUUCUGUCGAUCCGUUGGUCAAGUUUUUCAGGGGCAUGCGGAGGAAUCUGCCAAACAACAAGGUCAAACUCAUUUCGCUCAAGAGGAAGAAAAACAUAACCAAACUCACUAUGGCCGAUUAG
rnacentral:rRNA from 1 species